rnacentral:rRNA from 1 species
CCAGACUCCUACGGGAGGCAGCAGUGGGGGAUAUUGCACAAUGGGGGAAACCCUGAUGCAGCGACGCCGCGUGAGUGAAGAAGUAUUUCGGUAUGUAAAGCUCUAUCAGCAGGGAAGAAAAUGACGGUACCUGAUUAAGAAGCCCCGGCUAACUACGUGCCAGCAGCCGCGGUAAUACGUAGGGGGCAAGCGUUAUCCGGAUUUACUGGGUGUAAAGGGGGCGCAGACGGCAAUGCAAGCCAGGAGUGAAAGCCCGGGGCCCAACCCCGGGACUGCUCUUGGAACUGCAUGGCUGGAGUACAGGAGGGGCAGGCGGAAUUCCUAGUGUAGCGGUGAAAUGCGUAGAUAUUAGGAGGAACACCAGUGGCGAAGGCGGCUUACUGGACUGUAACUGACGUUGAGGCUCGAAAGCGUGGGGAGCAAACAGGAUUAGAUACCCUAGUAGCA